rnacentral:rRNA from 1 species
GGAAUUUUGCGCAAUGGGGGAAACCCUGACGCAGCAACGCCGCGUGGGUGAUGAAGCACCUUGGUGUGUAAAGCCCUGUCGACGGGGACUAAGUCAAGCGUUUGAAUAGGACGAUUGCUUGAAUGUACCCGUAGAGGCAGCCCCGGCUAACUCCGUGCCAGCAGCCGCGGUAAGACGGAGGGGGCAAGCGUUAUUCGGAAUUACUAGGCGUAAAGGGCGCGUAGGCGGUACGGUCAGUGAGAAGUGAAAGGCCUGGGCUUAACCGAGGAACGGCUUCUCAUACUGCCGAACUAGAGGAUGGGAGAGGAAAGCAGAAUUCCCGGUGUAGCGGUGAAAUGCGUAGAGAUCGGGAGGAACGCCAGUGGCGAAGGCGGCUUUCUGGACCAUAACUGACGCUGAGGCGCGAAAGCGUGGGGAGCAAAC